AGUGAACGCUGGCGGCAGGCCUAACACAUGCAAGUCGAACGGCAGCACAGUAAGAGCUUGCUCUUACGGGUGGCGAGUGGCGGACGGGUGAGGAAUACAUCGGAAUCUACUUUUUCGUGGGGGAUAACGUAGGGAAACUUACUCUAAUACCGCAUACGACCUACGGGUGAAAGCAGGGGAUCUUCGGACCUUGCGCGAUUGAAUGAGCCGAUGUCGGAUUAGCUAGUUGGCGGGGUAAAGGCCCACCAAGGCGACGAUCCGAAGCUGGUCUGAGAGGAUGAUCAGCCACACUGGAACUGAGACACGGUCCAGACUCCUACGGGAGGAAGCAGUGGGGAAUAUUGCGCAAUGGGCGAAAGCCUGAUACAGCAAUACCGCGUGAGUGAUGAAGGCCUUCGGGUUGUAAAGCCCUGUUGUUGGGAAAGAAAAGAAGCAGGUUAAUACGCGGCUGUUCUGACGGUACCCAAAGAAUAAGCACCGGCUAACUUCGUG
rnacentral:rRNA from 1 species